AUUGAACGCUGGCGGCAUGCUUUACACAUGCAAGUCGGACGGCAGCACAGAGAAGCUUGCUUCUUGGGUGGCGAGUGGCGAACGGGUGAGUAACAUAUCGGAACGUACCGAGCAGUGGGGGAUAACUAAUCGAAAGAUUAGCUAAUACCGCAUAUUUUCUGAGGAAGAAAGCAGGGGACCUUUGGGCCUUGCGCUGUUUGAGCGGCCGAUAUCUGAUUAGCUAGUUGGUGGGGUAAAGGCCUACCAAGGCGACGAUCAGUAGCGGGGCUGAGAGGAUGAUCCGCCAAACUGGGACUGAGACACGGCCCAGACUCCUACGGGAGGCAGCAGUGGGGAAUUUUGGACAAGGGGCGCAAGCCUGAUCCAGCCAUGCCGCGUGUCUGAAGAAGGCCUUCGGGUUGUAAAGGACUUUUGUCAGGGAAGAAAAGGGCGGGGUUAAUACCCCUGUCUGAUGACGGUACCGGAAGAAUAAGCAGCGGCUAACUACGU
rnacentral:rRNA from 1 species